GCGCAUCUGUGCAUGCAGCAUAUCAAUAAGCGGAGGAAAAGAAACUAACAAGGAUUCCCCUAGUAACGGCGAGUGAAGCGGGAAGAGCUCAAAUUUGAAAUCUUAAAGGGUUUCCCUUUACGAAUUGUAGUUUAAAGAAGUGUUUUCUGUUGAGGUUUUGGUAAAAGUUCUUUGGAAUAGGACAUCAUAGAGGGUGAGAAUCCCGUAUUUGACCUUUACUUUCAACUUUGUGAUACACUUUCAAAGAGUCGGAUUGUUUGGGAAUGCAGUCCAAAAUGGGUGGUAAAUUUCAUCUAAAGCUAAAUAUUGGCGAGAGACCGAUAGCGAACAAGUACCGUGAGGGAGAGAUGAAAAGAACUUUGAAAAGAGAGUUAAGCAGUACGUGAAAUUGUCAAAAGGGAAGCGUUUGACACCAGUGUUGUUUUUCUGAAAAUCAAUUAAAGAACUGUUUAUGCUAAGUUGUUUAGACUUUAUCAGCUAACUGUUUAGUUUUGAGCUUUUCUUUAAUGCACUUUUCAGUUAACAAGUCAACAUCAAUUUCUUUUGCUGUAAAAAAGCUUGAGGAAGGUGGCUUGAGAUUCGUCUUAAGUGUUUAUAGCCUCUUGCCUAUACAGUCGGAGAGAUUGAGGUCUGCAGCGUAGAUCCUUCGGGGCUAAAUGCAUUUGUGCUAAGUUAUAGCAUUUUAUAGACAACUUGUUGACUAUGAUUUGUCUUGUAGCUUACUCGCUUAUGUUAUUUUACCUACGCUUAGGAUGUUGAACGCGCACAGAGUCUC
rnacentral:rRNA from 1 species